AUGAUGGAAACGCGACUGCGGAUGGGCGACGGUCGUCGUCGGCGUGAUGCGCUAUUACAGUGCGGUUGGCUUCGUUUUGUGUCGGUAUUUUUGUCACUCCAGAUCCACAGUUCUUCUCCUUGUCUUUUGAAACAUGUAAGCAUAAAAGAAAGAACAACAACAAUGGUUGGAACUACACAAUCAGUCCUAUGUGUGUUUUUUGUUUCUCCCUUUUCAAUUAAAUAUUUUUAA